UCCUUAGUAGCUCAGUGGUAGAACGGUCGGCUAUUAACUUAUCGGUGGUAGGUUCGAAUCCUACUAGAGGAG